rnacentral:rRNA from 1 species
GAUGAACGCUGACAGAAUGCUUAACACAUGCAAGUCGAUGGGGAAGUGGUGCUUGCACCAUGGCAACCAUGGCGGACGGGUGAGUAACGCGUAAGGGACUUACCUGCAGGAAUGGGAUAACAGGGGGAAACUCCUGACAAGACCGGAUAAUGUCAUGGAGCUGCAUGGCUUUAUGAUGAAAGGAGACGCCUGCGGAGAGCCUUGCGUCCUAUUAGCUAGUUGGUGAGGUAAUGGCUCACCAAGGCGAAGAUAGGUAGCCGGCCUGAGAGGGUGGACGGCCACAAGGGGACUGAGAUACGGCCCUUACUCCUACGGGAGGCAGCAGUGGGGAAUAUUGGACAAUGGGGGCAACCCUGAUCCAGCAAUUCUGUGUGCACGAAGAAGGUUUUCGGAUUGUAAAGUGCUUUCAGCAGGGAAGAAGUAAGUGACGGUACCUGCAGAAGAAGCGACGGCUAAAUACGUG